AGAGUUUGAUCCUGGCUCAGGAUGAACGCUAGCGGCAGGCUUAAUACAUGCAAGUCGAGGGGCAGCAUGGGUGUAGCAAUACAUCUGAUGGCGACCGGCAAACGGGUGCGGAACACGUACAGAACCUUCCUUCGAGCGGGGGAUAGCCCAGAGAAAUUUGGAUUAAUACCCCAUAGUAUAUUGAAGAGGCAUCUCUUUAAUAUUAAAGAUUUAUCACUUGAAGAUGGCUGUGCGGCUGAUUAGGUAGUUGGCGGGGUAAUGGCCCACCAAGCCUGCGAUCAGUAACUGGUGUGAGAGCACGACCAGUCACACGGGCACUGAGACACGGGCCCGACUCCUACGGGAGGCAGCAGUAAGGAAUAUUGGGCAAUGGAGGCAACUCUGACCCAGCCAUGCCGCGUGGAGGAUGAAGGCCCUCUGGGUUGUAAACUUCUUUUAUAUGGGACGAAAAAGGGCUUUUCUAAGUCAACUGACGGUACCAUAUGAAUAAGCACCGGCUAACUCCGUGCCAGCAGCCGCGGUAAUACGGAGGGUGCAAGCGUUAUCCGGAUUCACUGGGUUUAAAGGGUGCGUAGGUGGGUUGGUAAGUCAGUGGUGAAAUCUCCGGGCUUAACCCGGAAACUGCCAUUGAUACUAUCAGUCUUGAAUAUUGUGGAGGUCAGCGGAAUAUGUCAUGUAGCGGUGAAAUGCUUAGAUAUGACAUAGAACACCAAUUGCGAAGGCAGCUGGCUACUCAUAUAUUGACACUGAGGCACGAAAGCGUGGGGAUCAAACAGGAUUAGAUACCCUAGUAGUCC
rnacentral:rRNA from 1 species